CAACAUGAGAGUUUGAUCCUGGCUCAGAACGAACGCUGGCGGCAGGCUUAACACAUGCAAGUCGAGCGCCCCGCGAGGGGAGCGGCAGACGGGUGAGUAACGCGUGGGAACGUACCCUUUUCUACGGAAUAACCCAGGGAAACUUGGACUAAUACCGUAUGUGCCCUUCGGGGGAA
rnacentral:rRNA from 1 species